GGUUGUAGCACAUACCAUCAGAAUGCUACAACAAGAAAUGUAAAUAUUAAGUAAUCAUUUGAUUACACAAAAGCAGGCCUUUUAACUUGUACACUUAGGCCAAAAAAGACCGGUUAACACACAAAAUGCUCGAGUUAGACCUGUCCAAAAUACCACCUAACAACUUUGAAGAUACUAGAUCAGAUCAUCAUGAAGAUAUCAUCGCCAACUUUUGACGUGGUCAAUAGAUCAUAAAAGCUAUCAAUUGCAUGAAUAGUCUUGUUGUAGGUUGUCUUUCGUGAAUACUUUCUCUAUAGCUUUUCCCAUUGUUGCAAGUGGUUGUGUUCGAGCACAACCUCAGUUACUUUAUAAUUUCCGACCUCUCGAUCCAAUUGAAAACACAUACGAGCUUGGCCAUUUGUUCUUGUUUCAGCUCUAAAACGCUUUGGUGCAUUAUCAGUUUGUCCUUUUUUUCGAUGACCCUCGUUGGAACAAACAAAUAUGCAUGAACCAACGGGACCAUUAAGUUUUCUUUUGUUUGUGUAUAUCCUUCUCACAUCAAAGCCGGUGUGACCCCCAUAUGUAUUCCAAAAUACCCACGCCUCAUCUACAAUUCUGAACCUCAUACCAACUUGAGGUAUCCCCUUAUCAAUUUCUGUCAUCCCACAACACCGAAAAUCGUGAGGGACAAUAGAGUUAUGAUUUUUUUAGAGCAGAGCACUCAUGCCGAUUUGAGUUACUCACACCUGAAAGGUACAGGAAGAUGUAGUUCAGCCAGUGACAAUUCAGUCAGUAUGCUGGAGAUGAGAAUAAGUUCAGAUAGUACAGGAAGAUUGAGACUCUUCUCCCCAGCGACGACCUGCCCUUCCACUCCCCAGCGACUGUCGCCCUUCUUCUCCCUAGCGAUGACCUGCACCUCCUCCCCUUUAGCGAUGACCUGCCCCUCCUCUCCUCCAGUGGCGGCGGCCCCUCCUCUCCUCCGGCGACGGCGGCAGCCCCUUCCCUCUUCUCUACAGCGACGACCUGCACUUCCUCUCCUCCAACGAUGAACUGACGCUCCUCUCCUCUGGCGGCGGCAUCCCCUCCCCUCCUCCUCCGCCGGCGGCCCUCCCCUCCGCCUCCGGCAGCGACCCCUCCUCUCCCCAGCAAUGUCCGCCCCUCCUAUCCUCCUCCGACAACGGCCCCUCCUUUACACCGGUGCGGUCGCCCAUCCUCUCCCCAAGCGAUGGUGCACCCCUCCUUAGCAAUGACACAACCUGCCCCUCCUCUCCUCCAACAUCGACCAUCCCUUCUCUUCGACUAGUCCGCGGCGCGGGAAAUUUCUCAACGAGCCCGCGAAUCCCCAAUUUGCUGCCCGCCCUUGCCCAAAUACAGACCGUUGGAAAAAAAAUUGGAUGGAGAUGAGAGGGCUAAAGUUGCGGCGUGCCACUGGAUCUCAGUCCCAGACGAUGACUGCGAGGCCGUCAGUAUGGACAUGGGGCCUUUUGAGGAACCUGAUACCAUUGUGGAGCCCCUUCUGUGUGUCCAACUUGAGCCUUCUAAACCCAAAUGCAUUCUGCACCACAUGAGGCCUAUGAAGUGUGUGGCUUUCGAAUGCACUUUAAGUGAAAGGCGUUUCUAUGGCUGCCUAGUGCAGAUGUUUGUUCAAGCUAUGGGAAAUGUUCCAUGAGCAUAACUAUGGAAGGGUACUUGACAAGCAAAAGUUUGUGGAGCAGUUGGCCAAGCUUAAGGCUGAAUAUGUUAAGCUUUGCACUGAGUACAUCAAGCUUGUUGAAGAUGUAGGCAAGAUGUUUGACUGGCAGAAUGGGAGGGUGGACACCAUGGAUUAGAAAAAGGUAGUGGAGGAGGAAGAAGGAGCUAGAGGAGAAAGGUAGGUUGGAGGUGCAGAUGGAAAAGGUGAAAUUUGAUAAGGAGCACACGUGCAUUUUGCAGACCCAAGCUAACAUUAUCCAGAACACGAGGAAGGCUAUGAAGGAAGUUGAAGUGGAUAGAGAUCUUCUUCAAAAUGAGAAUACAAAGCUUGAGCAAGUUAUUUCUAAGUUGCUGAAAGAUGGUUAUGGCAUCAAGGAGAAGUUAGAGCAAAUCAAGGCCAUCCUUGAGUCUUGAAAUGAUUGCUAUGGUGCUAAAGUACAUCCAAGGCCUCAAUAAGGAUGUGGCCUAACCGUGUCAAGCGAAGAUAUGGGUGUACAUUUUUGAGGAAUGUGAAGUCUAGGAUCUAAUUUGAACUUUAGUAGCUUAUGUUUGUACGAACCAUAUUUUCUAUGUUCCUAAGUUUGUUGUAAUGGAUCUUCUAUGCUAUGUUCUUAAGUAUGCUAUAAUGCAUAUUUUA